rnacentral:rRNA from 1 species
CCUACGGGGUGCUGCAGUGAGGAAUAUUGGUCAAUGGGCGCGAGCCUGAACCAGCCAAGUAGCGUGAAGGAUGACUGCCCUACGGGUUGUAAACUUCUUUUAUAAAGGAAUAAAGUGAGGCACGUGUGCCUUUUUGUAUGUACUUUAUGAAUAAGGAUCGGCUAACUCCGUGCCAGCAGCCGCGGUAAUACGGAGGUUCCGAUCGUUAUCCGAGUUGAUUGGGUUUAAAGGGAGCGUAGAUGGGUUGUUAAGUCAGUUGUUAAAGUUUGCGGCUCAACCGUAAAAUUGCAAGUGAUACUGGCAGACUUGAGUACAGGUGAGGUAGGCGGAAUUCGAGGUGUAGCGGUGAAAUGCUUAGAUAGCACGAAGAACUCCGAUUGCGAAGGCAGCCUACUAAACUGCCACUGACAUUGAUGCUCGAAAGUGUGGGUAUCAAACAGGAUUAGAUACCCCUGUAGUC